AAUCUUGUAUUCAUUAAUUGAUUUUAAAUUGCAAAUUUAAAGGUGUUUCAAAACCAGGAUUU
rnacentral:tRNA from 1 species